GCCAGUGUGGUGUACUGGUUUGGGCAUGGGACUAUGACUCUGGAGAUCAGGGUUCGAAUCCCAGCUUGGCCA